UACGUGGGGUGCAAGCGUUAUCCGGAUUUAUUGGGCGUAAAGGGUCUGUCGGCGACCUGAUAAGUCUGUUGUUCAAGCCUGGGGCUUAACUCCAGAUCAGCAACAGAAACUAUCAGGAUUGAGUAUGUUCGGGGUAGCUGGAAUUCUCGGUGGAGGGGUGAAAUCCGUAGAUAUCGAGAGGAACGCCAAGCGCGAAAGCAGGCUACUAGGACAUUACUGACGCUCAGAGACGAAAGCUAGGGUAGCAAAAGGG
rnacentral:rRNA from 1 species